rnacentral:rRNA from 1 species
AUUGAACGCUGGCGGCAGGCCUAACACAUGCAAGUCGAGCGGAAGAAGGGAGAUUGCUCCUGGAAUCAGCGGCGGACGGGUGAGCAAUGACUAGGAAUAUGCCUGAAAGUGGGGGAAAACGUCCGGAAACGGGCGCUAAUACCGCAUACGUACUGAGGCCGAAAGUGGGGGUUCCUCGGACCUCACGCUAUAAGAUGAGCCUCGGUCGGAUUGGCUAGUUGGUGGGGUAAAGGCCUACCAAGGGGACGAUCUGUCAAUGGCCGGAGCGGAUGUUCAGUCACAUGGGAACGGAGACACGGUCCAGACUCCUAGGGAAGGCAGCGGUGGGGAAUAUGGGACAAUGGGCGAAGUCCGGAGCCGGCCAGGCCGCGGGGGGGAAGAAGGUCUUCGGUUUGUAAAGCAUGUUAAGUGGGGAGAAAGGGCAGUAAGUUAAUAGCUUGCGGUAUUGACGGUACCAACAGAAGAAGCACCGGCUAACUUCGUG